rnacentral:rRNA from 1 species
GAUGAACGCUGGCGGCGUGCCUAACACAUGCAAGUCGAGCGAAGCAUACAGAAUGAAGUUUUCGGAUGGAUUUCUGUAUGACUGAGCGGCGGACGGGUGAGUAACGCGUGGGUAACCUGCCUUAUACAGGGGGAUAACAGUUAGAAAUGACUGCUAAUACCGCAUAAGCGCACAGUACCGCAUGGUAGUGUGUGAAAAACUCCGGUGGUAUAAGAUGGACCCGCGUCUGAUUAGCCAGUUGGCGGGGUAACGGCCCACCAAAGCGACGAUCAGUAGCCGACCUGAGAGGGUGACCGGCCACAUUGGGACUGAGACACGGCCCAA